rnacentral:tRNA from 1 species
GGGCCCAUAGCUCAGCGGCAGAGCAACUGGCUCAUAACCGGCAGGUCGCAGGUUCGAAUCCUGCUGGGCCCACCA